UCAGAUUUGUUUACAAUCCGAGGCAGCUCCUAAAACGAUUCUCUUCAUUCCUUCAUUCGUUCGGAUUACUGGAUUAUAAACUACAGGAUUUCCCGCUCCCCCAAGAUCCAGAGGCUGGCAAAUCCAAGAAAGACAUGACAAAACAUGAUCUGCAGGCUUAUGUAGCAUCAAAGAAACGCGAGUUUUUGAUGUGAAGACCGAGGACUCCGCAGGGACCUUGAACCCAUGAGUCACCAUGAAUGUGCAGAGACACGCUUUGGAUGUUUACCCUACAAAUACUGCCUGUAACUAUCAAAAAAUUGAAUGCACUGCAGAACAGACCUACGGCCAGUGGUAGCAAUCAGUGUGAAACUGUGCCACACAGUAGUCCGGAAAAGACUUUCUACUAUUGGCUGUACUAUCUGAGACGGUAGUGUAUAGCCUGCUGUGCUCUGGAACACGUGGGUGGGAGUACAAAGUGUUCUGGAGUAUCAACGGAACCUACAGUUCAAAAGUUCAGAGAUUGUCUUCGCAGAACAAAUCUCAACUGGCAUUUUUAUAGGACCUGGAAAGGGGAUGUGGUGACAACCUCCUCACCACUAGUCAUCAUAUUUUUAAAAAAGCCAUAGCUGUGUGUGAACAAGUCAUGCUAGGCUCCAGUACCUAUCCUACACGGGCUAGUAGAAGACAAACCUUUAUGAUUGAACUUGAGUCAUUUGGUUCUGUAUGACAUCUCAGACAGCCACAGGUUUUUCUGAUGACUGCUACAUGUUUAUUCUUUUGAUUUGAUUAUUUUCUCCUUGCCAAGUGACUCUAUUAUUGUAGUUGAAAUUGCAUGUUUGCUAAUCAACUAUUUACUAUCUAAAAAAUCAAAAAUGAUGUUUCUAGUUUUA